UGAGUAACACGUAGGUAAUGUGCCUUUGGGUGGGGAAUAACUUAGGGAAACUUAAGCUAAUACCGCAUAAUGCAGCGGCUCCUUCGGGAGACAGUUGUUAAAGAUUUAUCGCCUGAAGAGCAGCCUGCGGCAGAUUAGCUAGUUGGUAAGGUAACGGCUUACCAAGGCUACGAUCUGUAUCCGACCUGAGAGGGUGGUCGGACACACUGACACUGAAUAACGGGUCAG
rnacentral:rRNA from 1 species